rnacentral:rRNA from 1 species
AUUGAACGCUGGCGGAAUGCUUUACACAUGCAAGUCGAACGGUAGAGGGGGCAACCCCUCGAGAGUGGCGAACGGGUGAGUAAUAUAUCGGAACGUGCCCAGGCGUGGGGGAUAACGUAGCGAAAGUUACGCUAAUAACGCAUACGAUCUAAGGAUGAAAGCGGGGGAUCGCAAGACCUCGCGCGAUUGGACCGGCCGAUAUCAGAUUAGGUAGUUGGUGGGGUAAAGGCUCACCAAGCCAACGAUCUGUAGCUGGUCUGAGAGGACGACCAGCCACAUUGGAACUGAGACACGGUCCAGACUCCUACGGGAGGCAGCAGUGGGGAAUUUUGGACAAUGGACGCAAGUCUGAUCCAGCCAUUCCGCGUGCAGGAUGAAGGCCCUCGGGUUGUAAACUGCUUUUGUACGGAACGAAAAGGUCUCUCUUAAUACGGGGGACUCAUGACGGUACCGUAAGAAUAAGCACCGGCUAACUACGUGCCAGCCGCCGCCGUAA